rnacentral:rRNA from 1 species
UACAGAGGGUGCGAGCGUUAAUCGGAAUUACUGGGCGUAAAGCGUGCGCAGGCGGUUUUGUAAGUCAGAUGUGAAAGCCCCGGGCUUAACCUGGGAAUGGCAUUUGGGACUGCAAGGCUUGAGUGCGGCAGAGGAGACUGGAAUUCCUGGUGUAGCAGUGAAAUGCGUAGAUAUCAGGAGGAAUACCGAUGGCGAAGGCAGGUCUCUGGGCUGACACUGACGCUCAUGCACGAAAGCGUGGGGAGCAAACAGG